AGAGCAGCUGAGGACGGAAAAGGAACAAAUCCUGGAGAAAACCCUUCACAGGACUCCAAGGGGGCUUGAUUCAUGUGGUGGAGAACCAGAUGUGUUUGGAUGGCUUUCAGGGCUCCCCUCAAGACCACCGGCCAUCAAACUUUAACAUCACAGCAGAGAGCCCUGCUCAUAUCUCUAGUUCAGUGGGUAAUCACUGAGAAUCAAAGAAAGCUUGCCAUGGGCCUUCCUCCAAGGAGUUAUGUCACAGUUUACCUGAGAGCCAUGAGGUUCAUAAUGUAAAUAUAUCAAAGAUUUGAAGGGUUGUCCUGUACCUUUAGUGUUCAGAUUUGUGAGUCUGAAUAAAAAGCCUGCACCCCAAUCAGGUCUGGCCUCCAACCAUG